GCCUCUGUAGUUCAACGGAUAGAACGUUGGUUUCCUAAACCGAAAAUAAGGGUUCGAUUCCCUUCGGAGGUACUA
rnacentral:tRNA from 1 species